GCUGCGGCGGGAGGUGAGGGCCGCCUGCCUGGCCGGACCCCAGGGGUGUCGGACGGUGGGCAGGGCCUCCUGGGAUCCCUGAGGCGCCGGCAGGAGGAGACGCCCUGGGGUCGGUGCCGCCACCUUCCCGUCCGGGCGGUUACAGCUUUCCCGCGUUCGCUGUCAGAGGCAGGGACCGGCGACCUCGGGGGCCUGGUCCCUGAGCCACAGCGGGGAGUCGUCCGAGCAUCUCGGGAUGAGGAAGGUGCGUAGUGUCCUGCUUCCCCCCCUCAGGAAAGCACACCUUUCCUGGUCUCCUCCUCCCUGGAAUCUUGAACUCUGGUGAAGAACAUGGUGAAAUGUUCCAAGUGUAGCAGGGGCGUUACUGAAAGGGAAAAUCGUAACCGAUCAAGUUGAAUCAAAAAAGAGGAAAGAAAGCCCAUCGCGUGUGACAGACAAGAAAGUGCUACCGUUAAAAGGCAAACAGUUCUAGAGUGUGAGUGUAAUAUCAGGAUGAUUUGACUGCAAGCAACAGAGAAUCAAACAGAAAUGGCCUAGGGAGUCCCUUCGUGGCUCCCCAGUUAACAAUCUGACUGGAUCAUGAGGAUGCAGGUUCAAUCCCCGGCCUCUAUCAGUGGGCGAAGGAUCUAGUGCUACCAUGAGCUGUGCUGUGGUGUAGGCUGGCGGCCGCAGCUCCAGUUGGACCGCUAGCCCGGGAACUUCCAUAUGCUGUGGGUGCAGCCCUAAAAAGCAAAAACAAACAAAAAAAAUGAAACAAAACAAAACAAAAAAUCCACAAAAAAAAUCAGAAAUGGCCUAAACAAAGAAGAAAACAUGUUAUCCCAUACUACAAGAAGUUUGGGGGUUGAGUGGUUAAACGCAUGAUUAGUUUAGAAACUUGACAGCACCACCCAGGACCCAUUUUCCCUAAGGCGCUGCUGCCCCCCACCCUGUAGGCUUAGCCACCGCAGCAAAGACACCCCCCUUCCCCAACCAGAGCCCUGCGUCAGGACUGGAAGGGGCCUCCUUCCCUCCAUCCCCUUCCAGAACCUCGGCAGAAGACUCCCCUUGACGUCUCAUUCCAUCCCAUACUGGUCACUUUGCAGGGGAACGGAUUUACCAUGGUGGCCAGAGACAAUUAAGUCGCCCCCAUCUCUGGAGAACACUUGACCACUCAGUACCCAGCAACUCGGGUACUCCUGGCAAGAAAGAGACAGGUGAUACCCACUGGGUCCUGUCCACAGCGCCUGCCCCCAGCAACCUGUCUACCUGGAAAACUGAGGGGGUGCCACGCGGGUCUGUGUCUUCUCUGUAGUUUGCCCGAGUCUUUCCCAUUAGGUAAGUGUCGCCCUUUUCCCUCUUUGCGGCUUUCCUCCUUGGCACGUCACCCAGGUUUUGUUCAGCCACAAGGGGCGAUAGGCUGAAAGAGGAAUCUCCAGGCCUAGGUGAUGGGCCAGCCGUGGUGAUCCUCACCCGUUUGCCUGGGCACCGUUUGGGAAACGUCCCCCUGCUCACCACGGAGAUGAAAGACCAGGUCCCUGGAGGGGCUUCGCGGAAGGAUUUUUCACCCCAGUAAAGCGGAAGACAAGCCAGGGGUGUCCUGCCCUACGCGCCGUCUGCCUCUGAGCCGCCGCCAGCUCACACCCUUGAGCAGAAACGUUGCAGGGAGGCAGAAAGGGCCGAGUCUCAUGGAUUGUGCUGAGCGUUGCAUCCACCCAGGACUGCUUACCUUCAGACUUCUGCUCCGGUGGCAGAGCAGCAAACCCCUAUUGUGUAAGCCUUUGUAGAUGGCUGGUGCCACUUGCUGCUGAAAGUGACAGAUAAUCUUUCUAGGAAUAUAACCCCUAAAGCCCUUUAUGGUAACAGAUGCACUUAGAGAAUGUAGUUUUCUUUCUUUUUCUUAC
rnacentral:lncRNA from 1 species